CCCCUCCUGCAGCAGCUAGUCUCGCCGACGAUGCAGGCGAGGCGCUGCGGGGUCUCAAACACACCUAAUGCAUUUCCAAGGGGGGACAUAGCUUGCUAAAUCCAUUAUUUUUACAGUCAAUGGUCUCAACACGCGCUUCGCGGAAGCUCCUCCUCCACUACUCCACACACGCCUCGAAGCUUCGAAACAGAACGUCACAUCACUAUUUCCAACCACUGAUAACCACAAAAUGCGCUGUGUGUUUUCCUGAAGUCAUGCUGCUCGUAGAUCCAGGAGUGUACAUCGGCACUGUCGCUGACCUGAACGACAGCCAGGCGCUUUCUGCAGCUUCUGUCUCUCACAUCCUGUCUGUGGACUAGAAGUGAUUUUGGAUGACUCUUUUUGCUGAUACAGUCAAGAUUAGAGGCUGAAAAGUAAUCUUCAUCAUUUGUUAAAACACUUGUUGGAACGUUCGUCACGUCAAAUAGGUUUCUGUGUCUUUCUCGUCUUACUUUAAGAAAGAAAGAUAGACAGAUGGAUAGAUGGAUGGAUGGAUAGAUGGAUGGAUGGAUAGAUGGAAGGAAAGAGGUGACAUUGAAUUGCAAAUAUGAAUCUAAGAACAGCAGAAUCAUUAGUAUUUUAAGAAAAUCAUUGGUUGUUAUUAUAACAUACUGACUGCUUUUUUCACCUUAUCAGUAAAUGUUAAAACUAUGAUUUUAUUGUCAUCUGUGGUUAUUGUAUUUAUAUUGUUUUUCUGUUCUGUAAGAGUUCAGCCUCGUAGAGUUAUCCUGA